rnacentral:lncRNA from 1 species
GAUAACACAGAUAUAGACAUUCGACUAUCAGUCGAUCACACCGACGUACAAUCGAAAAUUCUCAAUUGACUCCUUGAUGGGACUAAGGCAACCAUAAUGACUCAACCGAUGGUUAGUCAGUAUGCCAGAAUCUUCGAUCGAUGGUCAUUCAAGAUAUUUUGAAUACCGACAUAUGGUUGGCAUACUCAAACUGCCGACAUAAAGUCGACAUAUCAGAAACCGCUAGUGUAGAAAGAGCGCAAUGGCUACAUACCAUGACUAUCAGCGGUCAUUAAUUGCCCAUUCUAUGAUCAUAUAAUGCCGGAAUAAGCGAGAUCCAUAUGUCUAACCGUUACAAAUGGUUACCAAUAACUCGCCUAUAAAAGGGAAGUAAAUAAAUAGUAUUCGUAAGAUACUUUUGGACUAACACUUUAUCACUUUGAAUUUUUGAUCUGAUGUUUAUCAUUCCCUACUGACUUAAGUAUUGGAGGAUCUCCGUCGGAU